rnacentral:tRNA from 4 species
GCAGGUGUGGCGGAAUGGCAGACGCACUAGACUUAGGAUCUAGCGCUUUACGGCAUGGGGGUUCAAGUCCCUUCACCUGCACCA